UACGAAGGGGGCUAGCGUUGUUCGGAAUCACUGGGCGUAAAGGGUGCGUAGGCGGGCAUUUAAGUCAGGGGUGAAAUCCCGAGGCUCAACCUCGGAACUGCCUUUGAUACUGGGUGUCUUGAGUCCGGGAGAGGUGAGUGGAACUGCGAGUGUAGAGGUGAAAUUCGUAGAUAUUCGCAAGAACACCAGUGGCGAAGGCGGCUCACUGGCCCGGAACUGACGCUGAGGUGCGAAAGCGUGGGGAGCAAACAGG
rnacentral:rRNA from 1 species